AACGAACGCUGGCGGCAUGCCUAACACAUGCAAGUCAAACGAGAUCUUCGGGUCUAGUGGCGCACGGGUGCGUAACGCGUGGGAAUCUGCCCUUUGGUUCGGAAUAACAGUUGGAAACGACUGCUAAUACCGGAUGAUGACGAAAGUCCAAAGAUUUAUCGCCAGAGGAUGAGCCCGCGGAGGAUAAGCUAGUUGGUUGGGUAAAGGCGCGCCAAGGCGACGAUCCUUAGUUGGUCUGAGAGGAUGAUCAGCCACACUGGGACUGAGACACGGCCCAGACUCGUACGGGAGGCAGCAGUGGGGAAUAUUGGACAGUGGGCGAAAGCCUGAUCCAGCAAUGCCGCGGGAGUGAUGAAGGCCUUAGGGUUGUAAAGCUCUUUUACCCGGGAUGAUAAUGACAGUACCGGGAGAAUAAGCUCCGGCUAACUCCGUGCCAGCAGCCGCCGUAA
rnacentral:rRNA from 1 species